AUUUUCGGAGUCUUCAUCGGUGAGAAGACAGUAGGCCCUAUGCUGUGCGUUUCCUUUAUGCAACAAAGUUAGCGCCUAUUUAUGAACCGAAGAAUCGUAAUUAUGUUACCUUCCUUAUAGAAGCCUUUGAGUCGAGAGUGAUAUAAUACUCCUGAGAGUUAAAUGAGUCCUUUGGCAAGUGCUAAAGUUCCUGUGUCAUAGGGCGAUCCAAUAUG